rnacentral:rRNA from 1 species
UACAGAGGUCUCAAGCGUUGUUCGGAUUCAUUGGGCGUAAAGGGUGCGUAGCGGCGCGGUAAGUCGGGUGUGAAAUCUCGGAGCUUAACUCCGAAACUGCAUUCGAUACUGGCGUGCUUGAGGACUGGAGAGGAGACUGGAAUUCAUGGUGUAGCAGUGAAAUGCGUAGAGAUCAUGAGGGAGACCAGUGGCGAAGGCGGCUCACUGGGGGUUUUCUGACGCUGAGGAACGAAAGCCAGGGUAGCGAACGGG